UUAGAUCACCGAAGUCAAGCAUCAUUGGGAGCGGUCAGUACUUGGGUGGGUGACCACCUGGGAACACCGCGUGCCGUU